rnacentral:rRNA from 1 species
AGCUCCAAUAGCGUAUAUUAAAGUUGUUGCAGUUAAAAAGCUCGUAGUUGGAUUUGUGGCUGUCGAUAGCGGCCUGUCACUUAGUGUCAGUGUUUGCUGUCGUCGCCAUCCUUGGGUGGAGCCUGUGUGGCAUUAGGUUGUCGUGCAGGGGAUGCCCAUCGUUUACUGUGAGAAAAUUAGAGUGUUCAAAGCAGGCUUAUGCCGUUGAAUAUGUUAGCAUGGAAUAAUAAGAUAGGACCUCGGUACUAUUUUGUUGGUUUGCGCACCGAGGUAAUGAUUAAUAGGGACAGUUGGGGGUAUUCGUAUUCCAUUGUCAGAGGUGAAAUUCUUGGAUUUCUGGAAGACGAACUACUGCGAAAGCAUUUACCAAGGAUGUUUUCA